UACGUAGGGUCCGAGCGUUGUCCGGAAUUAUUGGGCGUAAAGAGCUCGUAGGCGGUCUGUCGCGUCUGUUGUGAAAACUCGAGGCUCAACCUCGGGCUUGCAGUGGAUACGGGCAGACUAGAGUGCGGUAGGGGAGACUGGAAUUCCUGGUGUAGCGGUGGAAUGCGCAGAUAUCAGGAGGAACACCGAUGGCGAAGGCAGGUCUCUGGGCCGCAACUGACGCUGAGGAGCGAAAGCAUGGGGAGCGAACAGG
rnacentral:rRNA from 1 species